UUGCAGUCUUCGCGGCUGCUAUGCCCAGGGAGCGCAGCGCUCUCCGCAGCUCCGCGCAGCCCUAGAGGCAGCCGAGCGCCCGCCGACGCCGCCCGGAUCCCCGGUGCCACCGCUACCCCGGUCCCGCAGCUCCCGCGGAUCCUCCGGCGUUGCCUGUGAGGCCAGGAGGAGGCAAGAUGAAGAUGACGGUGGAUUUCGAGGAGUGUCUGAAGGACUCGCCCCGCUUCAGGUAACCGCCGUGUCUCCUAGUGCCUCCCGGAGCUGCCUAUCCUGGCGGCGGGGCGUGAGAGCUGGUCUUGGGGAGCGGCCGCUGACCCCAGGAUCACUCGUCGACCCAGGGAGCAAUCGCUAGCCCUGGUAGCGCCCGCCGGCUGCGGGAGCAUCGUCUGAUCUGGGAAUACCCUCCAGCCGCCGGCAGCACCCACCGACCUGGGGUGCACCGUCGGCUCCAGGGUACACCCGCAGAUCUGAGUGCACCGCCCACCCCGGGAGCACCAACCAGCCCCAGGAGUACCCGGGCCCGCAGUCCGCGCCUUCUGACGGGGCGGGCCGCAGCCUUUUGCCUGCAGUCCGAGGCGUGGCCGAGAGGGGACGUCGCCUCCUCAGCCCUGGCUCGCCGCCGCUUCUCUGGGAGCCAGGGCACCGCCGAAUCCCUAAAGUCGCGUCCUGCUCUAGCGCUCUUCCUCUCCCUUUCCUUCCGCUGCGCGUUGGCGCCCACCUCCCCACCCCCUCUGCGCGCAAGCUUUCUGGGCAUCUUUGCGGGUCACUUAGUUCCUCUUCCCGCUACUCUGCCGCCUCGGUUUCGGGAGGAGAGGGCAGCGCUGGAGGCAGAUUCGAUGGAAUCGGGACUGGGGGGCUUUGAACCACCUAUUCUAGCUACCCUUGACCGCUACGGUCUGCUCUGCUUUCCGUCGAAGCUUUUGGAAGAGGUGCAGGGCUGAGUGGGCGAAGACAGCAUUUCUGUUUUGAGAACGGAAGUAGGAGGGCCCCGAAGAUUGCAUUUGUUCCUCUUCCCGCGGCCUGGAGAGCCCUGGAUCACAGUCGGAUGCUCCCAGUGGAUCUGUCACAAAACUGAUGUGGUGGCAUUUUGGAUUCACAUGGGCUGUCCAGCCUUCCACGUGAGAGGCGGCAGUACUGAGGGGGUCCAGAAUCUGUGUUCUUCCCUUUUUGAGUAUUUGCGAGCAAACUCUUGGUUUGGAGAAUGGAGCUUUUCUAGGUUGUGUUUUACACUGUGCUGGAUAGGGCUGGCCUGAGGCCUAAAUAAGACCUUAAAACUUGUUACAUAGUGACAUUUCUCGAAAGCUUCCUCUGAGCUUUGGCUUGUGUGUAUGGUGUGUGUGUGUGUGUGUGUGUGUGUGUGCGCACACGCGCGUGCGCGCGCGUCCACCGAGCUCCCUGCCAGGCGCGCAUUGUAAAUUCUUGCACCCUCCGGGAACUGACUGUUCUCAGCCUUCUGACUGUUAAUUUGGCAUCCCAUGCUCCUCUCCAAGAAGAGGAAAGAGAAGAAGUGCAGAGGGAGGAACUUGGAGGAAAUUUAAGGACACGUUGGCUUUGCCUUUUGCUCCUUUCUAGGGGCAAGUUUUAUUUGAAGUUAGAGCUUGCUAACAAAACCCGGCUCUGGACUUAAUUUCCCUACUGUUGAUGCCAUCCAAUUUUGACAGUUUUAUGUCCUGGGUGAAUUGAAGGGCCCCCAGUGACACAAACAGAUUGUUUAGGGCAGCCUUUGGAGGCGCACUUUAUUCUCUAGGCAGCAAAUGAAGUAAUUUUAAAACAAUACCGUGGAAAGUUCUGCUUAUUGUGAAAAUUUUUGCUUCUGUGAUUUCAGCUGUUUAUAUUUCUCUCUCUCUCUCUCUCUCUCUCUCCCUCUCUCUCUCUCUCUCUCUCUCUCUCUCUCUCUCUCUCUCUCUCUCUGUGUGUGUGUGUGUGUGUGUGUGUGUGUGUGUGCACGCGUGCCAGAGGUAGUCAUUGGGUGCCUUCCUCAGUUGCUUCUCACCUGACUGACUUUUGAGCCAUCUCCCACUGAACCCUGGGCCUGCUGAUUUGGCUAGACUGGCUGGCCAGCAGUACUUAGGGAUCCUCCCAUCGUUGUCUCCCCUGCUCUGGGAUUAUAGGUAUGGUGAUGCUCCUGGGUCUUUUUAAACAUAUGUUUUGGGGAAAUCAAACCCAGUUACUUAGGUUUAUGUGGCAAGCCGUAACAACUGAGACAUCUCCCCAUCCAUCAAGCUGUGUGUCUUCAUGCCAAGUAACCAAAGUUACUUGUGCACAGUUCUUUGUGCUCUCCUGGUUUUGGAUAAAUUUGAUUUGAAAAAAGAAAGAAAUAAAUAAAAAGUCAAGUUAAGGGAAGAGCCUUGAGUAGGCUUCUAUUCUAGCCUUUGCUGUUGAUCACACGCCAUGUGACACUUGAAUUUUUAAAGUAACCCUUGAAUAUGAGUUAAGAAUUAGAGAUACCAGGUUGUAUGGUGUAAUAUGGUGAACUUUUUUUUGUUCAACUUGAUUAUGAUAUUUGCUCUAUUUUAAGAAGGCAGAGAGUUCUAGGAUUUUUAAGCUUCUGGCAUUCCAGUUAUUGUCAGCCGAAAACUGGGCACAGACACCAUAGCUCCAAGAGCUCCCGCAUCUUGUAUUUAUUUAGGGGCCUAGAUUAGAUUCACAAUAGAGAACAGUGCCAAGAAAUUGACACCCCAUUGUUCACAUUCUCAAUAAUUGUAACUUUCCAUGGCUCUGCCACUGUAUAGAUUUGUAGUAUUUGUUCACAUGAUGUAUAUAGUGGACGGAGUUGAUUUAAGGGAAUAGGUGGAUUUUGAGUGCUGUAUUGAAGCAUAUCAAAAUAGAGCCUGUGAGCUGUGGGAAUGAGUGACGGAUGCUUAUAAACCUAUCUACUUCAGAGGGUGAGGCAGGGGGAUUGUGAAUUGGAGGCUAGCCUGGACAGCUAACAAGAGCCUGUCACUUGGGCUGAGGUUGCUCAGUGGGUAGAGCAUUGACUGUGCAGUCCCUGGGGGUUGGAGUAUGAAUCCCCAGCACGCUUGUAGCUGCUGGGCUGGUAGUAUCAGCCCUCAGGAGGCAGAGGUGGAUCGUCUGGAGCGAGUUGGCUAGCUAGGUUAAUAAGCUGGCUUGCUAGACACGGAAUCAGAGUGCUCUGGGAUCAAGUGGAGAAGGAUGGAGGAACAUCCACCUCUGGCCUCUAUAUAUGCAUACACAUGUGUGCUUGGACCCCCUCCCCCCAUAUAAAUACAAAUAUGCACAUGCAUACCACGCACAUAGACAAAUGCAAACAAAAUGUUGUUAUUUGCUAUUACCAAGAAAAAUCAGGAAAACAGAAGAAAUUCGAGGGCUGGUCUUUGACUUUAAUUUCUUAACCCCCAGUCCCCUUAUUCACUUUGGCACUGGCUGCUCUUCAAGUGGACCUGGGUUGGAUUCCUACCACCUACGUGCCCACUCAGACUGUCUGUAACUUCAGUUCCAGGGAUCCAAUGCCCUCUUCUGGGCACAAGGCACACAUGUGGUGCACAGAUAGACAUGCAGGUAAGACAUCCAUACACAUAAAACAGUAACAAAAUUAAGG
rnacentral:lncRNA from 1 species